CCUACGGGAGGCAGCAGUGGGGAAUAUUGGACAAUGGGCGAAAGCCUGAUCCAGCCAUGCCGCGUGUGUGAAGAAGGCCUUCGGGUUGUAAAGCACUUUCAGUGGGGAAGAAAGCCUUGGGGCUAAUACCCUCGAGGAAGGACAUCACCCACAGAAGAAGCACCGGCUAACUCCGUGCCAGCAGCCGCGGUGAAUACGGAGGGUGCGAGCGUUAAUCGGAAUUACUGGGCGUAAAGCGCGCGUAGGCGGUCUGAUAAGCCGGUUGUGAAAGCCCCGGGCUCAACCUGGGAACGGCAUCCGGAACUGUCAGGCUAGAGUGCAGGAGAGGAAGGUAGAAUUCCCGGUGUAGCGGUGAAAUGCGUAGAGAUCGGGAGGAAUACCAGUGGCGAAGGCGGCCUUCUGGACUGACACUGACGCUGAGGUGCGAAAGCGUGGGUAGCAAACAGGAUUAGAUACCCCAGUAGUC
rnacentral:rRNA from 1 species